CUGGGCCAAUAAGAGAUGACUCACCUGCAUGGUAACUGAAUGCCAUUGUUUCAGCUUGGGAUGCAGGGGCCGCAUGGAACAAGACAUCUGUUGGCGAGAACUUCUUCCACACACCUGACGGUGAGAGCUUCUGCAGACAGCACAGACACACUGUGAAAGAACUCAGCUUGGGCAGGGGCCUCUGCAUGGCAAACUUCAGCAGCAUGUGGGUCUUCUACAUAGCUGUUCAACUCCAACUCCAUUCCAGAGCCAGCCAUUCUGAAGAUCACGGUAGGCACAGAGGUGACGGGGAGAGGCAUGCUUCACAGGCUGCACUUGGGAGAACACUAGUCUAGUCUUAACUACUCUCUGGUUCAUGCUAAUUUCACUAAGCUAAAUAUGUGACACAUUUUCUGGAAAAGUUCAUUUAUUUCCAGACAUAUAUGUUAAAUGUUCUAAAUAACUAAUUUAUCAUUUGCAGAGAUAGUUGAAGAUUUAGAAACAAAAAUUUCAUAGAGUAACUGAUAUGGUUAGGCUGUGUCCACCCAAAUCUCCUCUUGAGUUGUAGCUCCCAUACUCUCCACAUGCCAUGGAAGGGAGCUGGUGGGAAGUGACUGAAUCAUGCGGAUGGGUUUUCCUGUGCUGUUCUUGUGAUAGUGACUAGGUCUCACGAGAUCUGAUAGAUUUAUAAAGGGCAGUUCCCCUGCACACACUCUCUUGCCUGCCGCCAUGUAAGACCUGCCUUUGCUCCUCCUUCACCUUCUGCCACGACUGUGAGGCCUCCCAUCCAUGUGGAAUGUGAGUCCAUUAAACCUCUUUUUCUUGAUAAAUUACCCAGUCUCAGCAUCUCUUCAUAGCAAUAUGAAAAUGGACUAAUACACACCUAUAUCAAUAAUGAAGAGGAUUGCAGGUGCUGAAAGGGGUAAAACUCAAGAGUGAGCACCUACAUUCUUUACUGAACAUUUUUACUAUUUAAUUAUGCUGUUUGUGGAAUCAGUUGCUGGGAAUAUAUCAUUGGGACAGAUCAUGAUGAACUGUGUGUCCAUUAAGCCCCUUUUUCUUUAUAAAUUGCCCAGUCUUGGGUAUUUCUUCAUAGUGCUAUGAAAAUUCACUAAUCCAGUAACAAUACUUGAGAAAAACAGAAACGUUUUUUUCCUUGGACACCAGGGUUAAGCAGAAAAUUGAAACAAGGGCUGGAGUAUUAUUUUCUGUCAUUACAAGUCCCCAGUGUUCUAAAUCCUCCAGUGCCUGAAAAUGCAGUUUAAAUGAUUUCUUAAAAAGUUCUCUGCAGCUUAUAGCUUCAGCUUUAGGUCACACUGAUUUUUACAGCUAAAUAAUAAAGCUGGAACAAAGGGGUUUAAUAAAGGAAGCACAGGCAGGGCUGAUGGGAGGCCCCCUGAAGGUCCCCCGCUGUGACAGGAGAUCUCGCUGAGAAGACCCAGUCAGUGAGAACCACGCGCCACUGAGGAGCCUUGAUCAGGCAGACACCAGACCACGCCACACGGUAAGAAUUUCUUUAUUUAUGCAGCUUGUUCAGACUAGCAAGUCCUGAAGCUUCCACGGAGCAAAAGCGUAUCUCAUGGGAGAGGUAUUUAAGGAAAAUUGACCCCCAAAUCACUGUGCCAUUGUCACGGACUCCUAUCCAGUCCAUGGAAAGGCUCGAGUAGAAGCUAGUUUUAAAGAAUGUUAAUGAGACAAAACUUAGGCACAUAAAAAAAUAAAGAAUGUUAAGAAAAUCCCUUAAGUCUUUUCAUCAGGUAGUGAAUUUGGCUCUUUAUGUUUUUUUUUUUUUUUUUUUUUUUAAGUGUGAGCUAAUCUAAGUGAAUUAAAUG
rnacentral:lncRNA from 1 species